AUUCGUUUGUAUUCCAUCGUCGAGGAUCGAAACGACGACACUUUUACCAGUGUAACCUUUCUGCCACGCCGGCCCAAGAUUCAUGUCGUAGCCAUCUUUGGCUCCACCGUUCUGCAAUUACGUUGUUCCUUGAUUUUAACGGUCCUCUCAAAAAUCCUGGAAACGAGGAGAGUGCCGUGUUAAAAACGAAAGAAGAAAAGGAGAAGUGACUUACUCGCACGUAUAAUAAAUAAGAAUUCGAGUGUGGGAAAUGGUGCGAAAUCGGAACGAAAGUAUUCAAUAAGUUUCAAUUUCAAAAAUUCGCUAUUUGAAUAUUAAUGUACCUCUCUCAUAAAGAAAAAAAAAAAAAAAAAAAGGAGGAACGAAUGACAAAGAAUCGAAAGCGGUUUCGUUUCUGCGCGUAUCCUUUUUCCCCCUCCACAGUCGCGUCGAUUCGUGAAACGGAUGCACGGUGGAAGAAACAAUGGGGACACGAUGAGCGGCGAACGUUAACUGGCUGCGGUUAUUGUUUCGACGGAGGCAACCCCGUGAUAGGUCACUUCCGAAAUCCACGUGGGGCAAGUAGAAAAAAAAAAGAGAGAGAGAAAAAAUAUCAAUGCGACAUAUUCGACAUAUAUAUAUAUAUAUACGUGCGUGUACACUAUAUGGUUGCGAUCAUCGUUUUAAAUGGAUGCAGCCGUAUUCGAACGCAACUUUUUCAAACGUGUGCCGAAAAAAUGGAGCGCAAAGGGGAGGGGGCAUUCUCUGUUUCUCUUUUUUCCGUUUCUUCCUUUUUUUGGAAGUUUGUUCGGAGGGAUGGGUCGUUUUCGCUUUUGAUACCUUUGUUCCCCCCUCCCCCUUUUUUCCCAUUCAUCCAUCCAAGCCAUUGAUUCGUGCACUUCAAAAAUUGGGAUGCGUUUAAUUGCUCGGAAGCGGAUCUCACGCGAUUUCGAAUUGACCGUUUACGUUCUUCUUUCCUUCUCUCUCUCGAAUUUUUAUCCGGCUGUUAUUAGCUCGUCGGACAGAUAUGUGGAAGCAGACAUUGUUCGAAGUAUGAGGAUAAAUUCCAAGUUUGCUCUCUUUCUACUUCUCUUUCUUUUUCCGGGCUAAGUGCUUGUAAAUAAAAUGUAAAUAAAUAAAUGAAGAGUACGAGAUGGAAUAAGAAGAGAUGGGUAAUAAUUUCUUUCGAAAGUGAUUGACGAAGCUUUUUAUAUUCGGUGUUUCACGUAUAAUGUUCUCAUUAUAUAUUUUCUCAUAUUUUCCUUCCCCCUCUAUCAAUUUCUUAAUGAACAGAGAUAAUCAAAACUCAUCUUAAUGCUCGAAUUAAUUUCAUUGGUUACAAAAAUACUUGGAAAAUAAUAUUUCUAUUCCCACGUCGAAAAUAUAGUUCCACGGUCUAAUUUGAGAUAAAAAAAUUUAAAUCGCUCGACGGUACAUUAUUUCACGCUUUAUAAAAUUAUAGCAAGUAAAGAGCUCGGGAAUCUAUUCGCGAAGCGAUAUUUUAUAAUAAAAAUCAAACGUAAGUAAAUGUCAUUCGAAUUGGAACGCCAAAGGGUUAAUAAUGCACGGAUUACAUUAGGUGUAAUCGAGACGAUCCUCGGCUCGGGAGGGCGAUGAAAGGAACGAUGCUUAUAACGUUAACGCGAACCCGAGGCGGAUUACUUUGUAACGAGUUAAUGCGUUUUUCGUGCCGCUUAUUAGCGACGCCGAUCGCAUUAUGGCGUGCCACGGCCGUGUAAAAAGAAAUUAAUCCUCGUGAAACGAACUGAUCCUUGUACGUAAAAAAAGGGGCGAUUUCCCGUUAAAUAUCCUCAACAGUUUUUGGAGUUUUCAUGAAGGAACGAAUAUACUCGUAAUUUUCGAAAAUAAAAUAAAAAAAAAAAUUGGAAGGGAGCGUUUGAAAUUAAGUAAGUUUGGAAUUGGUGUACGUUUAAUUGGAUCGAUUGCAAAAUUCUUAUGAUUUUGAAUGUAUAUAUAGAUGAUCGUUUCUUCUUCCACGAUGUUAUCGAGAUUGUUAUAAAGUUAAACAAAUAAUGGAAGAAUUGAAAAUAUCAUAUACGAGCAUGUAUACGUGAAAAUUAACAAUUUUUGUUCAUGGGAACAACUAGAUAUUUCGAGUUGUAUAUUUCCAUAAGAAGUGUGGUGAUAAAGUUUAAAAUUGUUCCAAUGAAAAUUUCAUUCUACUUGUUCUACCGUGGAGUCGCUCUACUUUCAUUUCAUGUAUAGUAGGUUUUAUUAAGUCGGGGAGAAGGAAAAUUGAGCGGACUCGUCCCUCUAUCCCAGACGAAAGCAUCGAGUAAUUCAAUCAGUAGUUCUCGCUAAUCAACUCCUCCAACUUGUUCGUACGGCGAUCACAACGUUAAAAAUUAAUUGGCACAAUUAUCGUCGACAAUAUUUUAAUAUUUUUCAUUGACGAAAAAAAAAAAAAGUAAAAACAUUGUUCUAAUGAAAUUUUCAAAUUUGAAACAAAAUAUUUCAAGUAUAUUCUUCCUUGAAUUGGUUGAAAAUAUCUAGUUGAAAAUUCAAUAUCAGAGUUCACGUUAGAAAUUCAAUAUCAGUGAAAACUUUGCAAUGUGUUAAAAAAAAAAAAAGAAAAGAAAAGAUCACCUAAAUUGAUCUUUGAACUUCAAGGAACGCCUCCACUCUCGGAUAAAGUGUAUGCACGCGUUACGUGUACACGAUCCGCGAAAACAUGUAAUUUUCACGUACACGCAAUAACUUUUCCUUCAACGCGUAAAUUUAGAAGUUAUUUAGGUGUUACGCGGGUUCACCGCGUAAUAUUCGUCUGUAAUGUAUAUACCUACGCGUACAAGUAUAAUAAUAAAACAUGUUCUCAACAAUGUUUAUUCCAGCUACGUUGAAAAUUACGGAGAUGUGGAUAGAAUAAAAAUUCGUUUUAGUGUUCUACGCGUAUAAAAUAAAUUCUUUUGUCGAUUCUUUUAGCGCAAAAAUUUUUAUUUCAAUUAUUUUCUUGUUAUUCAAUACACGGGAUAAUAAAUAUCGAAAUCUGAAAUAAUUUUACAAAUAAUAUAAUGUUCAAGUGGAUUCGUCAAAAUUUAAAGUCAAACAUUCAUUCCUUAUUAUAUUCUCCACUUCAUUAUUGAACGACAUUGAAUUCAGAUAAAAAAAAAACGCGAAGCGAUUCGAUGAAUAAAGUACUCGAUUUAGAAAAAAUAAAGAGAGGGAGGGAAAUUGGAAUCAAUCGAUAAAAACCGUCUUAUUUCGAGUCGGCUACGAGAAAGCCUCCAUUUUAUUCGAUAAUCCAUCUCUGCUGAAAUAGCGCCUUAAACGCUCGAGUAUCGAAGGAAAUUUAUACAGUUCGUGGUAUACCGGUAAGAGAGGAACACGGGCGAAUUAUGCGGGAGCAAGUGAAACGUAAUCUUUCUAUUGCGCCCAAGUUUCGCACGAAUACUCUCGUUCGAUCGCAAUUUAUGCCAAUUUUUUCUCGUAAUACAUUCGUCGUUACCAAGACCAAAAAAAAAGGAUAAAAAUGAAAUACAAUAUAGAGCUAACAACCAUUAUUGACCAAUAAAUAUUUUACAAAGAUAAAGAUUCGCAACAAAUUUGACUUUCAAAUUCUAAAUUCUAAAAAAAUAUAUUAUCAAUCGCUCCGACAAGUUAAAGAAACUAAAAUUUCAAAUGUUAUAGUCAAAGAUAACGAAUAAUUAAACGAAUUACAUCUUUAUCACCAACAAUUUUCUAUUCAUAGUUCAAUGUACACGACGAAAACUAUCGAAUCGUUUGUUUUCACUCGUCCUUAACGAAGCUUAAAAUAUCGAUCGAGAUGGAACGAGACUGGACCGAAAAUGAGUUUUGUUUCGAGUUUCUGCAAAGUCGAGGAGGAAAUCGUUGGAAAAAAAAAUCGUUUGAAAAGGAGAUUGAAAAUUGGCGAUCCCUGAAUCUCGCUGUUCGUUACACCGAGAUUUCGUAGCAUCGCCAUUUUCGCGAUACUAACGCCGACUGGUGGACGUUUUUAACGUUGCGCCGCGCUGCGAAGAAAUCCUUUGGACGGUUACUUUUCACGGUAGAGAAGACAAUUUCUUUCGAUGUUUCUCCGCGUUAAAUCGGCCGGACGGAGGAGAUCGUAAUCGGGAGUAAUAGCGUCAUUGGCACGGGCUGAUGAUACCAUCACGCCGCCGGCCCUAUCACGAAAGGGUGAAGGAGCAGGAGGAAGAGGAGGAAAUCGAAUUAUGGGCGGAUAUACACGUGAUGCGAAUAGAGCGGAAUGGCUGAAUCGUUGAUUAUACGAAACCUUCCUUGGGAAUUUGCGGUCCGCGGUUCCUUAACUUUUACACGCUCCGUGUUCCGUACCGUAGCAUCAAUUUUAGAUAACUACGAUAUAUUUGUUUUCAAUAAAGUAAGACUGUUGCUUAUGAACACAGUGAGACAUUUAUAAAUAAUUGUAUAUUUAUCAUAUACAGUUCUACAUAUCCAAAUUCUUCCACGACAAUUCUCGAAAGUGUGCAAGUGAAAUAAUACACAUCAAGAUAUUUUUAAAUAACUAAGGAGCAGUGAUUAUAUAGUAAUUUAUAUCACACACAGUUCUGCAUAUCCAAAUUUUUUCAACGACGAAAUGCUCGAAAGCGUUAAAAGUGGAAUAAUACAUUUAAAAUUAGCGAGUGUCCAUCGAGGCAAGGACUGGUGAUCUCGUUUCGUACUGUCGGUACCUUUCUUAUCGGUCAACCGCUAACGAUCUCACUCCUCUAUUUCUCGACCUUGUUUUAUCCCUGGAACGGGAUCUAAUGUCUGGAAAAACACCGCUUUUCACCGCGUUGCAAAGACGCUCGCGCGUCUCAUUCUUAUUCAGCUCGGCUUUGUUCGACAUCGGUGUUUUAUACGCCGCGGCUGAAUCGUCGCGCCCGCGAACAGGGCGACAAGAGGAAGGGUGGGGGAAGAGAGGAGGGGCAAGAAAGCAAAGAAAAGAUUCGAGAAAGUUCCGCCGUCGGUUUGUGUUGUGGUACGCGUCGCCUCGAUCGUUGAAUGCGGGAAUUUUUUUUAAAACAAGUUUUUUUCCGCGUUUAAUCCCUUCAGUAAUUAUCGCGGACCCGUGCAGCGAAUUUCAAUGAAACUAAUGGAAAUGGUGCGAAUGUCGAUCGAAAUGUUGAGAAAUUAUUAUAGAAAAAGGUUUUUUUUUUUUAAGAUCAAUUUUCGAUAAAUUGGAAAAUGCAACGAUUUGGACGAUUUCGUAAAAAUUUUAUUUCACUGCGACAACAAUUUAUUUAUUUUCGUUUAAACACACGCUUUUAAUGCAUAGAGAUAAAAGAAAAGUGUAUGAGUCAUUCAAACUUAAUUAGGAUAUUUUAUAUUGGAACAAAGAAAUCGAGAUCGAACGAAUAAAAUUGCGCAUAUAAGGAAACGUCGUGGUUUUUGUUGAUCGUUUCGUACGCACAAUUACUGUUCCGCACAAUAGGCCGACUUGAAAACAAUAGUUGGUGGAAAAUGAUGGAAACCGUGAUAUUUUAAAAGGGGUCUUGUCCCGAAAUUCACUGGUUUGGAAAGGGAUUAUUGUUUUGUGAAAUAAAAUUAUACCAGCUUGAUAAACGGGAUUCCUUUCGUCAGAAUUUUAUCAUAUUCGCGAGAGUAUUAACUUUAAUCCUUGAACAACGAAUGCUGCGAGUGGGUGAAUCGCAUUAUCAAAAUUUUGAUAAAAACAAUGAAAAGAAACACGAGUAAAACUUUCACCUUUACCUAUUUUGCCGAAAUAAAAUUUUCUUCAUUCUGUGGAACAACUUAAUAACAAACUCGUCGCAACGUAUGCAUUCGAUGACUCGGCAUUAUUUCUGACGAAGAUUAAUAGUAAUUCUUACCGCACUCCUAUCGCGAAAAAUAUGCACGAAAAAUAUGCACGAAAAAGUUUUGACUCGAGUUAAAAAAAAAAAAGAAUGAAAAACUAUAUCGCGUUUCGUGUCUUUGAAAUUGUGAUAUUUAUCUUAUCUCUCGUUGGUUAGCUUGAAACAGACCUCCAAAGUGUAUAUUCGUAUGAUUUAUAAAACACACGGAUACUUUUAUAACGUAUAUAACGUUGGAAGAUGGAUUAUAAUACGAAGUCUAUAUUUUGAAACUUGUUAUAAAGUGCACACUCACCUAAAAUAAUACUUGUAAACUUUUUUUAAAUAACACGAUAUUUAGUUAGUUGCCUCUUCCUCCCGACAAAUAAGCUGUCUGAGGAGGAAAUCCAUAUCUAGACACUUUUAGAUAUACACAUCGAUCUAGCGAUACGUGUUAGAGUAUUUCGAAUGUCUGUCCGGUGGUUAAAGUUGGAACGCCUAUUAAUCAAACGAUGUUUUUUAAAAUUGCAAUCUUCUUUCUUACGAGGAAAAAUACAUAACCGAAGAUCGAACGAUAUUUUUUUAUGAGACACAUAUUUACCAUCCAACUUAAUUUUUCAGUGUUCCGUGCUUUAAAGUUUUGAAACAAAUAAAAUCUUAUGUUUCCUCGUUAUUUAUAGUGGAAUGUUAUUAUUGUCAUCACCAUAAAGCUUUGUUACGUAAUUAUAUAAAAAUUCGAUGCCAACUUUUACGAGACACUUUUGCUUCGAUUUCUCCUUCUUUCCUUCUUUUCUAUAUAUUUAUCCGCAUACUUUUCUAUUUCUUUAAAUAUAUAAAAAAUAAUUUUCUAAAUGGUGAAGGAAGAAUAUAUUUUUCACUUCAUGCUCGAUUCGAGCACGUAGCUCAUAAAAUUUUCAUGGGGGAAUGAAAUGACGCGAUCUCUGCGUUGGUUGUCCAAGAGCGUUCGAUAGAACGAGACGAGAAACACCGUAGAAUCUCGGUGGGCAUGCAAGAUAGAACGACGUAGCCCCGAGUACAUGGCAGACAAUUUCCUCGAAGGGACAAGAAGAAAGCCCGGGACCGAUGCUCGCGAUGCGUGUCACUUCCAGAAUGCGAGAUCGAAAAUCAAUUUCCGGUAAACGAAACGGAAAACAAGGAUUUGACGCGUGGCAAUCGUAUAUAUAAAACGGAACGGAGGUAGAAACAUGGCUGUAAUCGCUGUUUCUGUUGAGGAAACGGACGUUUGGACGAGCGUUUACGCGCCAAUUUUUUCUCAUCUAGCCAGAGAGAGAGAGAGAUAGAAAAAGGAAGGAAAUGAAUAUAUAUAAUCGAUUGCUUCUAGCGAUGUAUCUUUCAUCCAAUCUUUUUCUUUUUUAGAAAAAUAACUUUCGAGAAUACUAUAAUCCAAAUAAAAUUUAAUACAAUUAAGAUUAAUAAGAUAGUUCAAAGUAUAUAUGUACAUCGAUAUUGGUUGCUGGAAACGAAUCUUUAUUCCGUGGCCUAUUUUUCCCCUGUCUGUGCGCACAACGCGGCUAGUAAUAGCGAAAAGGAAAGAAAAAAAGUUGAGUCAGUAACUGACCAUCCACACACGGGUAAGUGUCGCGGUUGAGGCACAGAGGAUUGACGAAUGGAUGGGAGCGAGACCGACAACGAGAGAGGGACACGCGCGAGAACGAGACGGAGACAAUGGUCGACGCUCGAAAUUAACGGCCCGCUUUAAACGACGAUAUCUCGGCAAUGGAGGGUCGUAUCGGCGUGGUUUAAACGGUAUUUUAAAGGGGAUGUUCCUUGCGUUUAACUACGUCGGUAAAAGUUUGACGCGCAAUGCAACACAAACCGAUAUAUUACCUUAGAUAGUUAAAAAUGUUUCGUUUCCCAUAUAUGUACAUAUCCCACGUGAGACGAAAUCUAGUUUUUUCUACGUAAUAAGAAAUAAAAUAUGAUAAUAGAAUUCGUACGAAUUCGUGUUGAAGCUUAAAGUGUUAAAUUUAAUUCGAGUUCAAUUUCUUUCUUCGUAGAAAAGUUUCGAGUAUAUUCGAGAAAUAUUUGUACAGCGCUUAUCUAAGUUUUCGCAGAAGGACACGAUCGUGGAAAGUAUAGAAUUUAUUCUUGGAUUGAAAGUUUGUUAUUAUAACAAACAAGUGUAUUCAAAUGUGUGCAUGAAAAAAUAAAACAUGAAAUUUUGAUUAAUAAUAUACGAAAAUGAUUAAAAAUAAUUAAAA